AUGUGCGGGCUUGGGCGGAGAUGCCACAGUGCAAAAAGGAGUGUGCGUCUUGCCGAUGGCGGCACCGCCAUGGAGCAGGAUGGGGAGCACGGGGCCGGCGCGAGGAGCGGGCAGCAACAGGAGGAUGAAGCUGUCGGCGCUUCUCUCCGUCGUGUGCUGCGCCGUCGGGCUCUUCUCUCAGUGACUGUUCUCGUCAUCACUUCGACCAUCACCAUUCAUCGUUUUGCAUCUGCGCAUGUGGAGUCUGCUCGGCACACCUUACACGCCCCGGAAACCAUGUUCGUCUUCGGGGAUUCAUUCGUCGAUAAUGGCAACCUUCCGCGAUCAGACCUCGCAGCUGAGUCGCGCCAAUGGUACUAUCCCUAUGGCAUCUCAUACCACAAGGACGAUGGAUCGGGUCGGCGACAAAAUGCAACCGGCCGCUUCUCCGACUUCAUGGUCCAAUCAGAUUUCGUCGACCUGUUCGAGAGUAUGGUCAAAAGCGGAACUAUCUCAAAAAAUAGAGUUACCCACUCUGUCGCACUCCUCGCCAUCUCAGGCAACGACUACAAGACCUAUUACGACGCCGGCAUACUCGACCUGACCCCUGUGAUCGAGGGCUUGGGGAACCAGACCGUGGCCAUUGUGGACCGGCUGCGAGCCCUUGGAGUGAAGAGGAUUCUGGUGAACAACCUACACCCUAUUGGUUGCACGCCAUUGUGGUCCAGGGCGAGCAAGUACAAAGAGUGCGAUUACAUAGGCAACAAUGCUGCAUUGCAGCACAACAAAAUCCUGAAACAAAAGCUAGGCAGGAAGAAAGGUGUCCUCAUAGUCGAUCUGAACACCGCAUUUGGUAACAUCAUUGACCAUGGUUCAAAGUCGUACAAGCAGUUCAAGAAUACGCGGAAGCCGUGCUGCGAGGGCUAUAGAGCUAACAACUACUGUGGACGGCAGGCCAAGGACUAUCCGCCCCUUUACUCCCUAUGCCCGGACCGUAGCCAAUUCUUCUUCUGGGACGAUGCACACCCCACACAUGCUGGCUGGGAGACCGUCAUGAAGCAGCUGGAACAUCCCAUCAAAAAGUUCUUGGGGAUCGUCUAG
rnacentral:rRNA from 1 species